rnacentral:rRNA from 1 species
AGAUUGAACGCUGGCGGCAGGCCUAACACAUGCAAGUCGAGCGGUAGAGAGGUGCUUGCAUCUCUUGAGAGCGGCGGACGGGUGAGUAAUGCCUAGGAAUCUGCCUAGUGGUGGGGGAUAACGUUCGGAAACGGACGCUAAUACCGCAUACGUCCUACGGGAGAAAGCGGGGGACCUUCGGGCCUCGCGCCAUUAGAUGAGCCUAGGUCGGAUUAGCUAGUUGGUGAGGUAAUGGCUCACCAAGGCGACGAUCCGUAACUGGUCUGAGAGGAUGAUCAGUCACACUGGAACUGAGAC